rnacentral:misc_RNA from 1 species
CGGGAUUUCAUGUAUGAAAAUAAAAGAUUCAAAUUCAUCAAAAUUAGACAAAAUAUCAUCAAACUUGAAAACUGGAAGGUUGUUCAACCCUCAACUUAGCUAUUAAAUCUUCAGAGUCAACAAAAUUUCUCAGUUGAACUAAUCCUCUCCCUUCAUGGUCUGGUUUAAACAGACAGACCAUAAACAAGGAACAUGAAUCCGAGGAUCAAAAAGAAGAGUACUUAUUCCACAACCUAGCAUAACCAUUGCUAGUCUUCUUGCUCGAUUAAUUGUAAAAACGUAAUCUUACUCGAAUAAUUGAAACUUCCCACGUCGCUCGCUUAGCUAUCAACGACUUCAAUUAGGGUCGUCUCGUAGUCGCUUGGAGCUUCGUAACCAUGGAGAUUGAUAACAGUUGCAGCAACAUUGGCCAGCCCUCCAUUAGGAACAUCGUUACGGAAUCUAACUCCAGGGGCCAGUCCUGGACCUCCAAUUGCAAUAGGAACCGGCUGAAGAGUGUGAGAAGUGAGGAUUUGAAUUUUGCCACUUUUGUCAAGAAGAGGCUCCCCAGACUUGCUUCUCUUCACCAUGUCCUCUGCAUUUCCAUGAUCUGCAGUGACAACGUAAAUUCCCCCUACUUGUUCAAUUGCAUCGAGGAUCAUUUUUACAGCAUCAUCAGCAGCCUUGCAAGCUACAACUGUGGCCUCAAUAUCACCCGUGUGUCCCACCAUGUCACCGUUCGGCAGGUUAACACGUACCUGCUGGAAUUUCCGGCUAAGAAUAGCAUCUCUUGCCUUCUCAGCGAUCUCUAUAGCCUUCAUCUUUGGCUGAACAUUAAAAGUGAUCCCAGAAUCACUAGGAAUCUCCACAUAUUCCUCCAUUUCUGGGUUGAAAUAUCCAGAACGGUUUCCAUUCCAGAAGAAAGUAACAUGACCAAACUUGACGGUCUCACUGCAGGCAAAGGUCCGAACGCCAUUGUGCACAAGAUAUUCCCCAGAUGUUCUCUCAAUCUCUGGGGGAGAAACAAG